CAGCAGCGCGGGUAAUACUCGCGGUCUAAGUCGCAGCCAUUUUUAUUGGGUCUAAAACAUCCGUAGCUUGCUUUGUAAGUUCCCUGUGAAAUUUUAUCUCUUAAAGAUAAAGCGGGCAGGGAGUACUGCAGAGCUAGAGACUGGAAGACGUAAGAAGUACGAUUAAAGUAGCGGUAAAAUGUUCUGAUCUUAAUCGGACUCACAAUAGCGAAGGCAUCUUACGAGGACAGUUCUGACAGUAAGGGAUGAAGGCUAGGGGCGCAAAACGGAUUAGAUACCCGUGUAGUCCUAGCAGUAAACACUGCACACUAAACAUUAGUACCUCUUCGGGAGGUAUUAGUGCUGAAGCGAAGGCGAAGAGUGUGCUACCUGGGAAGUAUAGUCGCAAGGCCGAAACUUAAAGGAAUUGGCGGGGAGACACUACAACAGGUGACGCGUGCGGUUCAAUUAGAUUACACACCGUGAACCUCACCAGGACCGACAGCAGGAUGAAGGUCAGUCUAAAGGGCUUACCUGACACGCUGAGAGGGGUCGCAUGGCCGACGUCAGCCUGUGCUGUGAAGUGACCAGUUAAAUCUGGUAACAGGCAAGACCCACACCUAUAUUUACUUACGUGUACCAUAUAGGGAUUGCCAUGGUAACAUGGAUGAAAGUGUGGGCUACGUUAGGUUAGUUCAGCCCGACAGCCCUGGGCAACACGCGCGCGUCAAUGGUGGAUACAACGGGAUGCAACUCUGAAAAGAGGAGCCAACCCCUUAAAGUCCAUCUCAGUCCAGAUUGAGGUUUGUAACUCAGCCUCAUGACGCUGGAAUCUGUAGUAAUCGUUUGUUAUCAGCGAACGGUGAAUACGUCACUGUCUCUUGCACACACUGCCCGUCAAACCAACCGAGUUUAGUUAUGGUGAAACUCUUCGAGGAAAACUUUGGCUAGACAAGGUAGGUUAAGUCGUAACAAGGUAAACCGUA
rnacentral:rRNA from 1 species